AUUCUCCUCCUCCAGGAUGUUCCCGCACGAGGCCUUUCGGACAGCCAGCAGUGCAGGCACGACCACGGGCACUGCCGGAGGCUCUGCUUCCACAUGGAGCGCUGGGCUGGGAGCUGCAGCAACGGCCGCCUGCGCUGCUGCAGACCAUACCCUAACACCAUGAGGGGCUGCCUCUUCUCCUGCAUAUGCUGAGCUGGUGGGUGGAAGUAUGACUGGGAAUGGGUCACGGCCAGGUCCCUUUACACCAGGGAGUAAAUGUGGGCAACGAUGGUGCUAAGAAAGAUGGGGAACUGCCCUCCACGAUGUGCCCUGGAGCAGGACUCCCAGGAGCAGGGCAUCAUCUUGAAGAGGUGACAAAUGGUGAGCCAGAACUGAAAUAUCUUGGAGGUGUGAGGGGAGAGGGCACCAAGGGAUAAAAAAAGUCUCCUUGAGAGAGAAGCUGGAAGGUUCAUCUCCUGGAAACACCACGUGUGGUAUCAGAGGGUGGCCAAAAUUCCACCCCAAAGCUUCCUGGGGCUGUGAGACCCCCAGCUACCCACAGCAGAGACCCAGAGUGGCCAACACACUCUGCUAGCCCAAGGGACCAGUCCUGUCCUGGAGGAAAAAGAGGGAAACCAGUGAAACCAGUGACUGGGCUGCACUGGUUGACACCCGAGGAGAUCUGCCCCACCUUCCCCUCUGUCUAAACUCUGUGCUUGAAGCUCCGGAGCUGAGCUCCUCCUACCACCACAAAUUAGAUCAAGGAGGGACGGGGUGCCCACGAGCUCUGGGGCUGGCAUUAUCCCCAGCCUGGCUCCUCUCACCCCAUGGGCUGCACAACCAGUGCCUUCACGUGGUCCCAUCUCCUGGAUUCCUCGGCUCUCCUCUGAGUGACGGUGCAGCUCCCCAGGGACCUUGGAAAGCUCAGCCAGAGGUUAGCAGCCGCCCCGGCUGGCUCGAGCCAUCAGCCCCAUCGAGCAGAUAAGGCUCCCCCCGAUAACGGGACCUGCCGGCAGCGAGCCUCCAGUUUUCCACCUUUUUGAAGUCUGGCCGAAGGAGAAGGGAGCCAGGCACCACGGAGACCCUUGUGCCUGUUAAACGAACCCCGUGUUUCUGCCAGCAAUGCCCUGGCACCAUGAAUAAAUGGAUGUCCUAUUUGGAUGCCCCUGUGGGAAAGGGUACGGCCACGGAGGCUGCUCCAUGCUGACCUCUCCCCGUCCACGUCAGAGCAGAAGCGUGUCAGUUGGUCGGCGCUGAUGUACCGGAGCACAUUGUCCGGGCGUAAAUAAAUGACUUCAUCCCCUUGGCGAGGCGCUCGGGGCUCUUUCGGGAGCGCCACGUGGAGGAACAACAGCGCGGGGGCCACGCAGCUCAGCUCUCUGCAGGGAUGGAGCCGGUGGAGGGCUCCAAGACAAACACUGACAAAAGCUUGUGGCUCUUGGCCUGGAGACAUCCAGGGAGGAAAUUCAGGGCUGAAUUUGGGGAAAGCCCCCUGAGGAGGGGUGCUGGGUGAGCCCGUUCUCCUCUCCAUCCUCAUUUCCCCGUGGAAUUGGGCCGUCAGGCUCCGCCAAGCAUCAUUUCUCCAACCCAACACGUUCAGCGCGUGGAGCAGGACCCUUCCCCAGGCCUGGGAGGGACGUGGGAGCUGUCAGGAGGCGUUAUUGUCCAGAUCUUGGGGCCGCUAUCAGCGACUCCCACGCGCUGGAAGUGAGAUAUGUGUGACAACAUUUUUUCCACAUGCCGGCUUAUCGGGGCAGAGAAGAGGGGAAGGGGCUGGGGAAGGUGAUGGGCAGGAGAGGGGGGGAUGGAGGGGAGGUGCAUAGGUAUCAAAGCCCAACCACCCUGUCCUUUGCCCGCCCCGUGCCCUAUGAAAAGAGAGAAAAAAAUAUAUUUUUUUUGGAGGAAUGCAUUCACAACGGGGUUGUGUUGGGUCUGCAGCCUGCUGGCCCACUGGGGACCAUCCUAAAUUCUUUGGGUAAGAUCCUAAAACCUGCUUCCUGAAAACAUCUCUUGAUUCAUAUGUGUAUACGUAUAAAUGGAAAGACCUUCUGCAAGGAUAUUGGCUGGGCUAGCAAGACCCCAUGGGGCACGAUCCCAGUUGUCAACUGCAUCUCGUUGUGUUUUUGCAGUGAUGAGUUUUGUCAAGCCCUGGAAAGGCAGGGGUUUGGCCCACAACCCUAUUUUGCAUAGCAGAGCCUGAAACUUGGCUUUCUCGGUCUUUGGAGAAGACAGAGGGAGCAGAAAUCCAACACAGCCCUUCAGUUCAUUGUCAGCCUCCGAUCAGGAUCAGCACCACUGGAGUCACGUAGUGAAAACCACCAAAAUGCCUUCUGCGGCCAGGCAGAGCCAUCCCACUAGCCACUGCUGGCCCCCAGGCCACCAGCUGGGCCACCCCGAGACAAAACCAAACCCAAAAACGUGUGGGGACACAUCCCAUGCCUCGAGCGUGGGAGAGGUGAGUGGGUUUUGCAUGGACGAGCCUGCGACAGCAAUGCUCUCAUGAGGGCAGUGGUCAUCCUUCGCUCAAGGUUUGUAAAGGAAAGUGAUGUUAUAAAACCAAUAAAUACCCCUGGUAGGGUGGGUGACUCGUUU